rnacentral:rRNA from 1 species
UGGGGAAUAUUGGACAAUGGGGGGAACCCUGAUCCAGCAAUACCGCGUGUGUGAAGAAGGCCUUCGGGUUGUAAAGCACUUUAGUUGGGGAGGAAGAUGAGUGGUUUAAGAGAUAGCUCAUUUGACUGUACCCAAAGAAUAAGCACCGGCUAACUCUGUGCCAGCAGCCGCGGUAAUACAGAGGGUGCGAGCGUUAAUCGGAAUGACUGGGCGUAAAGGGCGCGUAGGCGGUUAUAUAAGUUAGAUGUGAAAUCCCUGGGCUUAACCUAGGAACUGCAUUUAAGACUGUAUGACUAGAGUGCAGUAGAGGGUAGUGGAAUUUCCGGUGUAGCGGUGAAAUGCGUAGAUAUCGGAAGGAACACCAGUGGCGAAGGCGGCUACCUGGACUGACACUGACGCUGAGGCGCGAGAGCGUGGGGAGCAAACAG